GACGAACGCUGGCGGCGUGCUUAACACAUGCAAGUCGAACGGAAAGGCCCUGCUUUUGUGGGGUGCUCGAGUGGCGAACGGGUGAGUAACACGUGAGUAACCUGCCCUUGACUUUGGGAUAACUUCAGGAAACUGGGGCUAAUACCGGAAAGGAGCUCCUGCGGCAGGGGGGGGUUGGGAAAGUUUCGGCGGUUGGGGAUGGCUUCGCGGCUAAUCAGCUUGUUGGUGGGGUAGUGGCUUACCAAGGCUUUGCCGGGUAGCCGGCCUGGGAGGGUGACCGGCCACAUUGGGACUGCGAUACGGCCCAGACUCCUACGGGGGGCAGCAGUGGGGAAUAUUGCACAAUGGGCGGAAGCCUGAUGCAGCAACGCCGCGUGCGGGAUGACGGCCUUCGGGUUGUAAACCGCUUUCGCCUGUGACGAAGCGUGAGUGACGGUAAUGGGUAAAGAAGCACCGGCUAACUACGUG
rnacentral:rRNA from 1 species